rnacentral:hammerhead_ribozyme from 1 species
AUUUAGCUGACGAAUCCCAAAUAGGAAUAAACGUGCGUCCUAGAU